rnacentral:rRNA from 1 species
UAAUACCGGAUGUGGCUGUAUGAACUGCGGUUCUAACAGUUAAAGAUUCAUCGCUUCGGGAUGAGCUCGCGGUCCAUCAGCUUGUUGGUGAGGUAACGGCUCACCAAGGCGACGACGGAUAGCUGGUCUGAGAGGAUGACCAGUCACACUGGGACUGAGACACUGCCCAGACUCCUACGGGAGGCUGCAGUCGAGAAUCUUCCGCAAUGGGCGCAAGCCUGACGGAGCGAUGCUGCGUGCCGGACGAAGGCCUUCGGGUCGUAAACGGCUGUCACUCGGGACGAAUUUUGACGGUACCGAGAGAGGAAGCCACGGCUAACUACGUGCCAGCAGCCGCGGUAAUACGUAGGUGGCGAGCGUUAUUCGGAAUUAUUGGGCCUAGAGGGUUCGUAGGGGGUAAUGUAAGUCCGGUGUGAAAUCUCGAGGCUCAACCUCGAAACUGCAUUGGAAACUGCAUUACUUGAGUGUCAGAGAGGAAAGCGGAAUUCCUGGUGUAGCGGUGGAAUGCGUAGAUAUCAGGAAGAACCACCGACUGCGAAGGCAGCUUUCUGGCUGGCAACUGACCCUGAUGAACGAAAGCUAGGGUAGCGAACAGGAUUAGAUACCCUGGUAGUCCUAGCUGUAAACGUUGUGCACUGGAUGUGGGCGGAUUUGGUCCCGUCUGUGUCUGAGCGAAGGCGUUAAGUGCACCGCCUGGGGACUACGGCCGCAAGGCUAAAACUCAAAGGAAUUGACGGGGGCCCGCACAAGCGGUGGAGCAUGUGGCUCAAUUCGAGGCAACGCGAAGAACCUUACCUGGGUUUGACAUAUACCUGACCGCCGGUGAGAGCCGGUUUCUCUUUGAGCAGGUAUACAGGUGCUGCAUGGCUGUCGACAGCUCGUGCUGUGAAGUGUUCGGUUAAGUCCGGCAACGAGCGCAACCCACGCUGUUAGUUUACCAUCAGGUAAUGCUGGGGACUCUAACAGGACUGCCCGUGCUAAGCGGGAGGAAGGCGUGGACGACGUCAAGUCCGCAUGGCCCUUACGCCCAGGGCUGCACACGUGCUACAAUGGCCGGUACAGAGGGUCGCCACUCUGCGAAGAGGAGCUAAUCC